rnacentral:rRNA from 1 species
UACGUAGGGGGCAAGCGUUGUUCGGAAUUACUGGGCGUAAAGCGAGUGUAGGCGGUGUGGUAAGUCGGAUGUGAAAGCCCCGGGCUCAACCCGGGAAGUGCACUCGAUACUGCCACGCUAGAGUAUCGGAGAGGUUGGUGGAAUUCUCGGUGUAGAGGUGAAAUUCGUAGAUAUCGAGAGGAACACCGGUGGCGAAGGCGGCCAACUGGACGAAUACUGACGCUGAGACUCGAAAGCGUGGGGAGCAAACAGG